GAUGAAGAACGCAGCAAAAUGCGAUAAGUAAUGCGAAUUGCAGAAUUCAGUGAGUCAUCGAAUCUUUGAACGCACAUUGCGCCCUGUGGUAUUCCGCAGGGCAUGCCUGUUCGAGCGUCAUUUCAACCCUCAAGCUCUGUUUGGUGUUGGGCCCUGCCCGCUGCGGCCGGCCCUAAAGACAGUGGCGGUGCCGCCUGGCCCUGAGCGUAGUACAUCUCUCGCUCCAGUGCCCGGUGGUAGCCUGCCAGAACCCCAACUCUCGUGGUUGACCUCGGAUCAGGUAGGGAUACCCGCUGAACUUAAGCAUAUCAAUAAGCGGAGGA
rnacentral:misc_RNA from 1 species